ensembl:lncRNA
AUGGCAGCACUGCACAAGAACAUGACGGUAACACGCACCAUCAGUGCUGGAAACUGCACGAGCGCCGAAAGCCAGUCUGAAAGCGCGGGAUUCCCGUUCCCGCGCAGACACAGUUCCGCGGGAAUACUCGCUCUCAAAUGGGCCACCGCGAGAAGUAGUUCUUUUGGAAGUUCGCUGGCGUCAGAAAACCGCGGGAGUAAAGACAGCAUACGCAGUAUCGUCGUGACACCGGACAGCAUCCCGCAAUUCACCAUUCCUAAACUCGCCCUGGAGAAUGGGUUUAGAGCCAGAGUGAAUGAGAAAGAACGACAAGUUUCAUCGUCAUCAUCAUCCUCGGGGUUCGGUGUAUCUCCUGUACCUGGAAGAAAAGCCAUCUCAGAUGUCAAACGGGCUCAGACUCAGAGCAACUGUUCUCUGGUGGAUGCUGAACAUUGCUCUGACCAUGCCAGCCGAGCAGCUCUUUCUUUACCUCACCUUCCCAAAGUCACCACUCCGUACGGCUUCGUAACUUUGAGCAAGAGCCCACAGAUGGCCAACGAAGAGGCACUGUUCUUCCAGGGCCAUAGACGUUGGGGUCAUGAUGAAGAGAUAAACCCGUCCAGACACCCUAAGCUGGAAAUGAAAAGAAGCAUCACUGUCAGAACAUCACCGAUCCAGACACAUGCCGGCACCCCUCCACAUCAGUCUCCCGUCGCUCAUCAGUUCUUUAGAAGCCACAGCGUUACUGGAAUCGAGAUAGAGAAGCAGCUGGCUCAGAGCUAUGAGUCAGUGAAACAGGUCAGCAAAAGCAAGCGAAGCCUUUGGGGAAUUCUUCGCAAAGCAGACAGAAAGUCUUUCGAUUUUAAUUCGAACCUCAAAUGAACAAACCCAGAGCAGUGCUGCUCAAGAACAUGACAAUCAAGCACCUUCUGCUGUAAAUGCACUAGUUUUUCAUGCUGUCUGUUUUGUUGUGUGAGAAUUUAUUUAUUUUAUGCAUUCAUUUCACGUUCCAAAUGUUCAGAUUAGUCAUUAUAGAUGUCAUCCAUGACUUUAUGAAGAAAAUAAAUGUUUUAAACAUACAAAUCGUUUCA